CGUGAAGUUGACUGCUCAGAGCAGAAGCCUUUCGAAGCGGUAUUCUUGCCAAUCAAGGAAGAGUUGACUGAUGAAUUGGUGGUGAGCUAAGGCAUCAGGAGCCCAGCCGGUCGAGCAUGGUUCUUUUCCUCGCCACCGUCAUAGCGACGACGCGUCGCCGGUAUGACGGCGGAGUUAUGACGGCCGCGGGAAAAUGCGAGCAUGGAACCCAUCGUCAUAACUUCCCCGUCUUCACUAAGGCGUCUUACCUAUGACGGCUCGGCAUCCAAUAAUAUGCAAAGCAGCAAGCCAGUAGCGAUGGCACGAGGAGGAAGAGCAAACAUGUGCCAGUUGGAACUUCUUGCAAAUUACAUGUUUGCGCAUCCAAAAUUUGCAAGAGGUGAGAUGAUGGGACCACAAGGCCUACAGCUCAUAAAUAAAAUGUGGUUGGAACUAACAAGUCAAUUAAAUGAGCUGGGGCCUGAAAAAAAUGUGGACCAGUGGAAAAAAGUUUGGCGCGACAUGCGAAGGAAUACGCGUGCGAAAAACGCAGCAAUCAAUGUGGAACACGCGGCCACGGGAAAUCCCCAUGUGGAUUCAAAAUUGCCAGCUAUGAAGUGAAGGUCCUUGCGGUGCUUGGUUUAGAAUCGAGUGCUGGCAUCAGUGGCUUGACUAGUGUCGGUUUGAGCAGGACAGUGGCAAAAGAAGAGCUAGGCACACCUUGCCAAGUCAGUGAGAUCUCUUUUGUAAGUAAAAUUCACAUAACACAUUGACAAUUAUUAACCUUUAUUUUGUUUCAAUGACAUACAACAUAGCACAUUUUAGUGCGGUUUCCAUGAUUGAUGCAUAUGUUCAGACAGAUUUGUGAAAUUAUGUUGAUGGAGAAUAUCAAAUAACUUUAAAAAGUAUUAAACAAAAAAAUUAUAGAAAAUAUUGUUAUUUCUCAUUGGUACUUAAAUAAUAUUUAAAUCUAUAUAUCUUAGGUAGCAAGCUUUACAAUCUUGGCACUGAUGAAUGUGUCAUUUAUUAAAACAAACAUUUUUCUAGGUAUGCAAUACUGGUAAAUGAUGAAGUAAAAUAGCAAUUAUUUAUUUGUUGAUUAACCGUAAAUCAUGAUCAUCAAUCAUCCAAUAGUCAAAAAACCUUAUUAAGAACUAUUUAAAUAUGCAAUCAUUGUUUCCAACCAUUAACGUUUCUCAGUGCUUUUAUGUAAAUCCUUAAAAUAAGUUUUUGGUGGCUGUAUUAACCACAACAUAAAAAUAUCCAUUUGAAAUUACUUUAUGGACCAAAUGACAUAGAAAAACUGCAUUUGUCCAUAAAGUUGUUUUCAAAUAAUAUUCUCCAUUUCAAGGAUAUUUCAAAAAACAUAUCUAGUUUAUAAACAUUAGAUUAAUCCCAGCCCUACCAAAACUUAAUUUAAAAAAAAUGUGGCAGCACCAAGUUAUUUUUCGACAAAACUAUAACCGUGGGGAGCCAAGUAGUUUAAAAGCAGAAGCAUGGUUCUAGCACCAUGUCCUAUAACAAACCAAAAUACUCAAAAUUCUUCAUAAUUUAAUUAUUUUUCAGGAAUCAGUCAAGGAAGAAACCCUUUUGGGUAAUGUUAACAAGGAGACUGAACCCCUUUCAAUCAAGCAACUUGAAAAUAUAGAAGUUGUGAUCGAAGAUGGUGUUUUCAAGCAACCAUUACAAGAUAAUGCUACAACACCAGAGCCUAAAAAAAGACCUGCAGUGUGUGAUAAAAGUCCGCGAAAGAAAAAAAAACGUAAGUGAUACUCCAUAGUGUUCUUUAUGAAGUAUAUGCAGUUCGGUCCAAUAAAUUUACAAUUAAAUUUAUUUUUUUAACAGGUAGCAGCACAAAUGAAAAUGACGAAAAGUUUGUGGAGCUAUUCUGCCAGGCACAAGACAAAAACAUAAAAAACUCUGAGGUAAUGGCCAGCCAAUUGGGACAGUUGAAUGCCAAUGUUGAAAGAAUGGCCUCGGCAAUGGAAAAAUUUGCUGAGGCACAUGAGAAACUGGCAUCAGCUAUAACGCAACUAGUCUCAAAGAAGUGAUAAUUUGCAAGUGAAUUUGUAAAUUCUAAAUGUUGUAAAUAAAAGUACAUACCUAUUUUAAA